ACACAUGCAAGUCGAGGGGCAGCAUGAUUGAAGCUUGCUUCAAUUGAUGGCGACCGGCGCACGGGUGAGUAACGCGUAUCCAACCUUCCGUACACUCAGGGAUAGCCUUUCGAAAGAAAGAUUAAUACCUGAUGGUAUGAUGAGAUUGCAUGAUAGCAUCAUUAAAGAUUUAUCGGUGUACGAUGGGGAUGCGUUCCAUUAGGUAGUAGGCGGGGUAACGGCCCACCUAGCCUACGAUGGAUAGGGGUUCUGAGAGGAAGGUCCCCCACAUUGGAACUGAGACACGGUCCAAACUCCUACGGGAGGCAGCAGUGAGGAAUAUUGGUCAAUGGACGAGAGUCUGAACCAGCCAAGUAGCGUGAAGGAUGAAGGUCCUACGGAUUGUAAACUUCUUUUAUAAGGGAAUAAAACCUCCCACGUGUGGGAGCUUGUAUGUACCUUAUGAAUAAGCAUCGGCUAACUCCGUGCCAGCAGCCGCGGUAAUACGGAGGAUGCGAGCGUUAUCCGGAUUUAUUGGGUUUAAAGGGAGCGCAGACGGGUCGUUAAGUCAGCUGUGAAAGUUUGGGGCUCAACCUUAAAAUUGCAGUUGAUACUGGCGUCCUUGAGUGCGGUUGAGGUGUGCGGAAUUCGUGGUGUAGCGGUGAAAUGCUUAGAUAUCACGAAGAACUCCGAUUGCGAAGGCAGCACACUAAGCCGUAACUGACGUUCAUGCUCGAAAGUGUGGGUAUCAAACAGGAUUAGAUACCCUGGUAGUCCACACGGUAAACGAUGGAUACUCGCUGUUGGCGAUAUACAGUCAGCGGCUUAGCGAAAGCGUUAAGUAUCCCACCUGGGGAGUACGCCGGCA
rnacentral:rRNA from 1 species